AAAAAAAAAACUUUAUGAACAAAUUAUGCUGAAAGCAUGCAUAAACACACACACACACACUGCUGAUAACUUCAGAAUAUCCUUGCCUUUACAUGCAAACAAAACUCUGUUGAAACCCUCAUGUAAAUGUAUUGAUCUCCACACACACUCACACACACACACACACACACACACACACACACCAGCCUGCUGCCAUUUUUGGUUUUCGUGCCUACACUGGUUUCGUGUGAUCUGUGCUCUGGACCAGAAUCCAGGAAUAUCUACAUGCAUCAUUCCUUAGAAAAUAGGGACCAAAGGACUACACGCUUUUUAAAAGAUAUAUAUAAAUAUAUAUAUAUAUAUUUAAAAAUCAAAAACUCUUAACUCGUAGCUUACUAAUAUUAACAGUAGAAGAACGUAAAUCUGUGUGACAAGAAAACCUUUGCUCCGGUAGCUGUUUCUUGCUCCGGCGUAGAUUAGAAAUGUAGAAUAUAGGAGUAGAGUUGCUCAUUUUUCCUUUUUUCUAUUUAUUUUUAUUAGCGAAGAUAAUACUUGAACUUGUGAAGGAAGGCCGGAAGAUGUACAGUAAACCUUCCGGCCUCUGGAUCGUAUCGUUCAUCAUGUCGCGCUCUUUCUUCAUUCCAAGACGAGUGGAACGGACGAGGAACGUCUGUGAUCCCAGAAGCCUUUGUGUUCGAGCGACAAUCCACAGUGGAAGGCCAGAUGAUCAGAACGUGGCUUUUUGUACAGAGACGCUCGUCUCAGACUCUAAUGAGACGAAACGGAGGAAGACGAGGAGGUCGAUAGCUACAGAAACUGCCAAAAGAACCACAAAAGGAAACGCAAUCUAACUAUGAUCAAUUGAACUGAUCCAACUGUUUAAAUUCGUGCAAACCUGCAGUCGCGCUCUAUAGAAGAUCUUGGUAACACUUUACUUGAAGCCUUUAUAAUGCAUCAUAAUGCAUUAGAUAUUUUCACAAUUAAUUGCAAUAUUGCUAUGCAUUAUAACAUUUACAGAUUGUUUGUUGCAUCAUAAAAAGGUUGUUUGUUAUGUUGCAGUGCAUUGUACUUUCUAAAGGAGUAACCGUAUUUAAUAAUAUAACUACAUUUAAGUUAAGAGUUAAAGAUAUGUAAAAAAAUAAGCUGCCAUGACUUAUUGAUCAGAUCACACAAUGCAUUAUAAUGUGCAAUGCAAGCCGUAAUUAAUGCAUUUGAAUACUUUUAUAAUGCAUUAUACGGUAUAUAAAGGAUUCGCGUAAAUGUUACCAAUGUGUUUACUUCGUCAACAUGAAACCCCGAUUAACUUCUGUUUAAAAAAAUGUAUUUUAUUCACAGAGAAUCGAUUCUCUAUGACAUAUUGAAAACAAGACGUGGGCUUGAUGGCGUUGAAGACGUCUUUAAUUGGUGAUAAGUCCAGAAACACGUCUGGAUUUGAUGUUGACUUUAAAGAGAGAACUUGGAGAUGAUUUGGAUUGGAUUGUGUGUGUUUUUCCACACGUACUCUGCCCAGAUCAUUAUAUAAUGGGAUUUCAUGCAUCUAUUCUGUAUGAACUAAAUCCUCAAAUCCAGACUAGUACAACACAAGCCUAACAAGGCCAUCUUACUUUACGAUGAAGCUCAACGGUUUUAGAAACACUGCAUCGGUUUCAGGUGUUUUUGUGCUGUUCUCAUGAUCAGGCCUUAAAAACAAUCCUCACCUCUGGAGAUUCAUUGCCAUCUUUGUGAAAGAUUGCAGGUCUGUUCCUCUUCUGUGUGUAAAACAGAAAGCAGAAAGGUGAGCAUCUCUCAAUGGGCAGGUCUUUAUCUAGUCAUCGCCUGCGUGCGAAUUAGAGUGAAAUCUGGAUGUCAUGACCAAACCUGACCUCUAAACCUUCAUGCCAGCAAACGAGACGUUGCUUUUAUCCUUUAAAAAAGACGCUCCCUCCAGGAUCCCAAAGGACCAAAACCAUGCACUUCUGCCAUGCUGCCUGCGCUUGAACGCUGAUGCACAGACACUGAUGAGUCAAAGCUGGGGGUUUCUGAAUCGUCAGUGUCACUGGGUUUGAUCGUGCGAUGACAUCACUUCCUCCCUGGAACGCUAGGACAGUUUAGGAGGGCUGUAAUGUGAAACAAGCACCAUUUCUCCAGCUGUGUACAUUAGAGAAUGAUGUUUGAGGCUCACUGUUUACUUUAAUGUUCUUGAUUCUGUAAACACCUGCUGAUUUGCUUUUCUUCUUUUGGAAAAACACUUUGAUACCAGAUAUUUGCCUUGAAACUGUAUUCUCAUUAUUGUGUUCAUGUCAUAUUUUUUGUUAUUUAUUUUGCUCAUAUUCACUGUUUAUUCAGAUGAAAUUAACUGUGAGGAGGUUCUUGAAUAUGCUCCGCCUCUGACAGCGAAUGAAGAUUCAAAUUAUAUUUAGAUAUAGAAGACAGUUUCCAUCAUGGAAUAACAAACUAUGUAAAAAAUAAUUGGGACUUUUUAUGUUACCCUUCAGGCUUUUUUUCUCUCACAGUUGUGAGUUUACAUCUCACAAUUCUGAAAAAAAAAGUCAGAAUCAUAAGAUAUAAACUCAAUUGAGACAAAAUUAGAAUUAUGAGAUAAACUCAAAAUUAUGAGACAAAAGUCAAAAUUGCAAGAUAUAACUCAAAAUUAUGAGAUAAAAGUCAGAAUUAUGAGAUAUUAACUCAAAAUUAAGAAAAAAAUAAGAAUUAUGAGAUAAACUCAAAAUUAUGAGACAAAAGUCAAAAUUGCAAGAUAUAAACUCAAAAUUAUGAGAUAAAAGUGAGAAUUAUGAGAUAUUAACUCAAAAUUAAGAAAAAAAUAAGAAUUAUGAGAUAAACUCAAAAUUAUGAGACAAAAGUCAAAAUUGCAAGAUAUAAACUCAAAAUUAUGAGAUAAAAGUGAGAAUUAUGAGAUAUUAACUCAAAAUUAGGAAAAGUAAUAAUUAUGAGAAACUCAAAAUUAUGAGAUAAAAGUCAGAAUUAUGAGAUAUUACCUCAAAAUUAAGAAAAAUUAAUAAUUAUGAGAUAAACUCAAAAUUAUGAGAUAAAAGUCAGAAUUAUGAGAUAUUACCUCAAAAUUAAGAAAAAUUAAUAAUUAUGAGAUAAACUCAAAAUUAUGAGAUAAAAGUCAGAAUUUUGAGAUAUAAACCCACAAUUAUGAUUUUGAUAUAAACUCAUAUUUACAAGAAAAAAAGUCAAAAUGGCAAGAUAUAAACUCAGAAUUGUGAGAUAACAGUCCCAGUUAUGAUUUUAUGAAUAUAUUAAUUGGCAGUAUUGGGAAUCCAUACAAAGAAUAUUAACGAGGGACCAUUUCAAUGUAAUAAUCAUCUUAAAGGAACAGUUCACCCAAAAAUGGUACGCGUGCCAGACCCACAUGCUUUUCUUUUCUUCAUUAGAACACAUAUGGAAAACAACCUUUUGUAUUCAGUAAAAGAAAGAAUAUAAUACAGGUUUAUGAGCAUCAGAAAAUAAUGAUAUCAUUUGGGUGAAUUAUUCCUUUGAGCAUGAAUGAAGUGUGAAGAUGCUCACAUCUCUCGUUUUCUGUCUAUAAAGCGGUUCGGACCAAACUGACAAAGGGAAGUGGACACAAAUGUUUUUUUCCCCAUGAUUCCACACAGAGACUUUUCCAGCAGAGAAACUAUGACAUUUGCCGCUUCUUUUGCGACUGCCAUGCUUUUCUAAUCGAAUUAAUUUUAUGCAUCAGGACGGAGUACACAAAAACCUCUGUUGAGUUGCAAUGAAAUCUCUUUCGAAUCUUUGAAAGAAACACGUUUACUUGAAGAGACACAAGCCUUUUGCUCAUGCUGUUCUGUUUGAAUCUGAGCUGUAAGAUAGUCUGGGUUUCCUUCCCUGCUCAUGAUCUCUGUAGCUCUAGACGCUGAUAUUCUGCUUAGACUCUUAAUAAAGCACAGUUCUGUAGACCA